GGUGAACGGGAGAACGCUGCAGCCUUGAUCUCGUUUGCUGGUGGAGGCGGGGUCUAAAAAGGACAAAACACAGGCACUGAAAGACAUGAGUUGACCUCCUGGAUGAGUUUCGACUCCAUCUUCAGGUUCUUCGGCGAGGUCCUGAAGGUGAAAGAGGACGAGGAGGAGAUGUCCACCAACAUCGUCAGCACACGCAGCAGCGCCCUCAAAAGCAAACAUCAGGAUUUGUAAAAAAAAAAAAAGAAAAGUAAAAUAAUCUCCUUCCCCCCUUUAAGAGUCUUGGGUCAGCAUGUAAACGCACCAAUCACGUCAAGAUGGCUGCAAAAUGUGCGGACAUGAUUGUGCUGUGCUACCAAACGGGUGCCGAACACAGUGCCUUGUGGUACGCCUUUUCUGACUGUUAGCAUGGACUUUUUUCAUUUUCACUUCCAAUAUAUGCACGACCAUACUUUUUUUUAAAGAUUUUAAUGACUCUUUCAACUUUAAAGGCCUACUGAAAUGAGAUUUUCUUAUUUAAACGGGGAUAUCAGGUCCAUUCUAUGUGUCAUACUUGAUCAUUUCGCGAUAUUGCCAUAUUUUUGCUGAAAGGAUUUAGUAGAGAACAUCGACGAUAAAGUUCGCAACUUUUGGUGCUGAUAUAAAAAUGAUGACGUCACAAGGGUGAGGGCUCCUCAUGUCCUCACAUUGUUUUUAAUGGGAGCCUCCAUCAGCAAGAGCUAUUCGGACCGAGAAAACAACAAUUUGCCCAAUAAUUUGAGCAAGGAUGAAAGAUUCGUGGAUGAUGAUAUUGAUAGCGAAGGACUAGAAAAAAAAAAUGAUAACAAAAUAAAAUCAAAAGCGACGGCUCCGCAGUGUGAGCGUUUCAGAUGUAAUUAGACACAUUUACUAGGAUAAUUCUGGAAUAUCCCUUAUCUCCUUAUUGUUUUAAUAGUGUUUUAGUGAGAUUUUAAAGACAUACCUCGAGGUCGGAUGGCUGCGGUGAACACGCCAGUGUCUCAGAGAGAAGCCGAGGAGCCAAGCUCACAGCUGCCUUUUAAACAGCUAAUGCAGGAGGACGAAUAAUCCAAUGAUGUCUCCGGUAAGAUAUAUAUCACAAUUUUCCCAUCCAAAAACAUGCUGGUUGACGUAGAGAAACAUGUUCGCUUGACCGCUCUGUGUUAAAAACAAAGAAACACCGGCUGUGUCUCGGUGCUAAAGGCAGCUGCAAUACACCGCUUUCCACCAACAGCAUCGUUCUUUAUAGUCUCCAUUAUUAAUUGAACAAUUUGCAAAAGAUUCAUCAACACAGAUGUCCAGAAUACUGUUUAAUUGCGCGAUGAAAAGAGACGACUUUUAGCCGCUAGUAGUGUUGCGCUAUUAUUUCCUGACAGUAAGUGACGUCACGCGCACGAGUCAUCAUUCCGUGACGCUUUCAACAAGAAUCUUCGCGGGAAAUUCAAAAAAAUUGCAAUUUAGUAAACUAAACCGGCCGUAUUGGCAUGUGUUGCAAUGUUAAUAUUUCAUCAUUGAUAUAUAAACUAUCAGACUGCGUGGUGGGUAGUAGUGGGUUUCAGUACGCCUUUAAAACUUAUUUACCGAGAUACAUGUCGCACAGCUGUGCAUUCCUCUCCUCUCCAUAUCUCGGACGAUUCAAGCGAUGCGCUCGGAAUCUUUUCUGGCGAGCGUAUUUGAAAUCACUUAAAAAUGAAGCAUCAAAUGGAUUUUAGUGAUAUUUUGUUAAAACAGGAGCCACAAGGCAGCUUAAUGGAUGACGCGCGUCAGGAAAUGCAAGAUCUGGAUAUUAUUCUAAGCCUGAAUGAUGUCGGAGAAAAGUACAUUUGUUCUUAGAUGUGACAACGCCGCGCUCAGCCGCACGUAAUCUGACUAUGCGACACCAACACAAUAUUUUUUUACUAUUUUAAACCAAUCAAGGCUUAACAGAAGACAUUUCACAAGUGUCUCGACGUUAGCCAUGGCUAAAUCUUACCAUACCUCCUUUUUAAAUGUGGACUCCCCUUCUUCUGAUCGUCAUUAUUGUUUAACUUUUAACUGUGAAAUCCUCUUUCUCCCUCCCGUGUGUGUGUGUGUGUGUGUGUGUGUGUGUGUGUUCAUGCUUUUGAGGAUUAUCUCCAUGCUGUAAUGAGACAAGUGUGGCUGAUGGUUGCAAGGCCUAAUUUCCUUUUAAUUUGAUUCCCAUCUCUCUUGCUUUCAGUAAAAUAAAAAAAAGAUAAAUAAAAUACAACGAGUCCUGCAUAUUAUUUGAUUUGAUAUGAAUUUGCUUUCCAGAUACCGUUGCUCAUUUUUGUGGCUUUUCACGGAAAAUGUGCUCAUUCUUCUACCAUUUUAUCAUUUGUACAUUGUUGCCUUGAGGGAACAAACAAGGCUUUUUUUUUUCUUUAAAUAAACCAAUGAUGAAAAAAUGCAAAGCCUGAUAAUAAAUGAAAUUAUUUUUUUCAGCCAAUUUUCACAUGAACAUAUUUGUGUGUGCAAUAGGAGGAAAAAUACCUGCUUACACUGUCAUCAUUCAGGUAUUUUAUGAAACUUCCUUAAUUGUGGUAUAAAAGCUACUGUAAAGUAUUUUUUAAAAUGUGUGUAUAUACUUUAUGACAAAGUUGAAGAAUACGAACAAAUCAAAUGCAAAUAAACUGUUUUAUACCUCA